rnacentral:rRNA from 1 species
GACGAACGCUGGCGGCGUGCCUAAUACAUGCAAGUAGAACGCUGAAGGCGGAGCUUGCUUCUCUGGAUGAGUUGCGAACGGGUGAGUAACGCGUAGGUAACCUGCCUGGUAGCGGGGGAUAACUUUUUGAAACGAUAGCUAAUACCGCAUAAGAGUAGAUGUUGCAUGACAUUUGCUUAAUAGGUGCAAUUGCAUCUCUACCAGAUGGCCCUGAGUUGUAUUAGCUAGUUGGUGGGGUAACGGCUCACCAAGGCGACGAUACAUAGCCGACCUGAGAGGGGGAGCGGCAACACUGGGACGGAGACACGGCCCAGAAUACUAGGGGAGGGAGAAGUAGGGGAUUUUCGGGAAUGGAAGGAAGGCGGAACGAGGAACGCCGCGUGAGUGAAGAAGGUUGUCGGAUCGUAAAGCUCUGUUGUAAGAGAAGAAUGAGAGGGAGAGUGGAAAGUGCACACUGUGACGGUAUCUGAACAGAAAGGGACGGCUAACUACGUG